rnacentral:lncRNA from 1 species
CCGGACAUAUAAUUUCAAAGCAGUGUCGAUGACAUCAGCAACAGGCGCUUCCUCAUUAACAACAAAGCGGAUUGGCCCUGCGCUUCCCACAGCAAUGAUGCUGAUCAACAGCUUAUUGCCCUUGGGACCCUGAUUCUUCUUCUGCUUGUAAAGCAACAUUUUCUUUUCUUUUUUUCUUUUUGUUCUUAUCACCAAAUCAAAAAAAGUAAAUAAAUUUUGAGACCACAAAAGAAAUGGGUUCAUGUUGUGUUUGGUUUUUGGUUUAGGGAAUGCAAAAAUGGAGGGCAGGGGUUGUUAGUUGUAAAAGGGGAGUAGUUCAAGGAUCAAGUCCGAGACGGCGAUAAUACCAGCCCUUGUUUGCAAGAACCAAAAGCGAAAGCAGCAGAAGGAGAAAGAGGGAGGAGACAGCUCGCCCUUGAUUCACCAAGGGAGACCGUCAAAUUAGUAGUAGGAGCUGUUUCCACCAUUCACAAUUAUACUAAAAACACCCCAACAAAAGAUAAAAGAAGAGAUGGAGGAGGAGGAGGCAAAGUUGAGGGUAUUGCAGAAUUCAACAAGAAAAGGGGAUGGGAAGGUAAAGAGGAGGAGGAAAGAGAGAGCAAGGUUUGAUCCCCUUUAAGGUUGCCUGCGAUUUUUGAAGGGAAAAAAGUGGACAUAGAUUUCCUGAAUUUAUAGGGAGUACAGGAAUUUGUUACUGUUGGGUGUGUAUGGUGUUGAGUUGAGUUGAAGUGAUAUUAUAGUGAUUUUAGUAAAUUACGCCGACCUUCCCUCACAAUCCAUUAGUGUGUUUUUUGAGUUCUUUAUAGAAUAAAGUUUAAUAUAUAUAUACAAAAGUGUAAAUUCAUGUUUAAUAGAAAAUAUGAUUGGAAUGUGAAGUAAAAUAAAUAAAAAGUAAUCCGCAUGUUCAAGAAUUGCUUCAAAAUUGAGCUUAUGCGUGUAUGUAUAUUAAUGGUGUGAUGGAUGCCCUUUCAUUUGUAAAAAUUCGAAGCAAUUAAGU